rnacentral:rRNA from 1 species
AACGAACGCUGGCGGCAGGCUUAACACAUGCAAGUCGAACGCCCCGCAAGGGGAGUGGCGGACGGGUGAGUAACGCGUGGGAACGUGCCUCAAGGUAGGGAAUAACUGAGGGAAACUUCAGCUAAUACCCUAUGUGCCCUUUACGGGGGAAAGAUUUAUCGCCUUGGGAGCGGCCCGCGUCGGAUUAGCUAGUUGGUGGGGUAACGGCCUACCAAGGCUUCGAUCCGUAGCUGGUCUGAGAGGACGACCAGCCACACUGGGACUGAGACACGGCCCAGGCUCCUACGGGAGGCAGCAGUGGGGAAUCUUGCGCAAUGGGGGCAACCCUGACGCAGCCAUGCCGCGUGAAUGAUGAAGGCCUUAGGGUUGUAAAGUUCUUUUACCCGUGACGAUGAUGACGGUAACGGGGGAAUAAGCUCCGGCUAACUUCGUGCCAGCCGCCGCAGUAA